UACGUAGGGAGCAAGCGUUAUCCGGAAUUAUUGGGUGUAAAGGGUGCGUAGACGGGAUAACAAGUUGGUUGUGAAACCCCUCGGCUCAACUGAGGAACUGCAACCAAAACUAUUAUUCUUGAGUGCAGGAGAGGAAAGUGGAAUUCCUAGUGUAGCGGUGAAAUGCGUAGAUAUAUGGAAGAACACCAGUGGCGAAAGCGGCUCUCUGGUCUGUAACUGACGCUGAGGUUCGAAAGCGUGGGUAGCAAACAGG
rnacentral:rRNA from 1 species